CUGCAGUGGAGUCUGUACUGGCUGCGGGGGACCCUGCUCAUUUGAAAAUCUGACAUCAGCUGGGCAGUCGCCCCCCUCCUCCUUUCCUCCCUCUACUCUGACACAGCACUUAGCACCUGAAUCUUCGUUUCUCUCCCAGGGACCCUCCAUUUUCCAUAUCCAGGAAAAUGUGAUGCGCCACAGGUAUCAGCGUCUGGAUCGCCACUUCACGUUUUAGCCACAAGUGACUCAGUGGAAGAUCCAGAGUCAACAGAGGCUCGUCAGGAAGAUGUCUACAGAAAAGGUAGACCAAAAGGAGGAAGCUGGGGAAAAAGAGGUGUGCGGAGACCAGAUCAAAGGACCGGACAAAGAGGAGAUGCCUACAGGUCCUAGGAGCUGUGGGCGAUAAAAAUCAGCGCCAGCUGGAUGACCGCCUCACUCGGCCGCUUCGCGGGUGAAAUGGCCUGUGGUGAAGGAACCACCAGCUGCUGCAUCCCAUGGCCAGGGGUGGCGUCCAGGUGGCAGAGCAGCUAGGAACGCAAGGCCUGAACCUGGGGCCAGACACCCUGCUCUCCCGGCCAUGGUCAACGACCCUCCAG
rnacentral:lncRNA from 1 species